rnacentral:misc_RNA from 1 species
GGGUUGGGAUGAUGAUUGGGAUGAAGAAAAUGCUGUGAAAUCACCAGGGGGACGCCAUAUUGGAAACAUUUCAGCUAAUGGCCUUACUGCUAGGUCCAACAAAGAUGGGUGGGAGAAUGAUUGGGAUGUUUAGUUAAUGAAACAGCCUGAGAAGAAAGCAAACUUCUGGUCUCUCGACAAUUUGAUCAGUAGUAGGUGACUGGAAGGCAGGAAGAACAAUGUGUGGAUCACAUAACGUUACCAC